CUCUGCCCCUCCCUCCACCUCACACAUUUUCUCUCUAAAAAAAAAAAAAAAAAAAAAAAAGGCUGCAAUAAAGAUUUUAUGUUUUAAGCAUACCCAGAUCUCCAUCUCACUAGGUUACAACUUACAUUGAAAUGAAAAUUAUUCACACCUAUACAUCUAUCUGACAAGUCAGUACACAUUGAGCUCUCUUCUUUCCUAAUCUCCAAUAUCACUCAUGUUUAGCAUGCAUGUGGACACCAUCUUAUUGACAAAAUAAUCAAAGCAUCUAUGGGUUGGAAAAGACCAAAAAGGUCAUCUAGAACAACUUCCCACACAGUGUAGGAAUUGCCUGCACCUGCUCUGAGUCAAGGCCUUCUGGCUCAGCACUUGUAGGGAACCAAUAAUAAUCAUGAGACCAGUCAAACUAUGCUAAGUCAAAGCCAGCUGAGAAAAGAGUUAUUCUUUCUUUGGAAGUGAAAGGUGCCUUGACUUGUGUCUGGCUGCUAGAAUUGGAGCUAUCAGGGUCCAAGCCUGGGCUAGACUUGCAUCUGUUGGUCACAAUUGAGUGAUUUUGGGUUGGAUGGUGGUCACUGUGCUUUGAGGACAGGAAUAAUGGGAAGAGCAGAAAUUCUUCCACUUAUUAGCCAUAGAGUUUCUGGUAAGUUACUCAUACUCUCUGGGUUUCAUUUUCCUUAUCUCACAGAAUGAUUGUGAGGAUGAAGGGUUAUGAAAUAUGUGACCCUCCUAGCCCUGUGUCCAGCACAUGGGCUCAUCUGGACACCCCGUAAGUCUCUUCCAAAACAAGAUGGUUACAGAGUUGAGAAAUGAAAGGGGCAGAUUUGAGUUUGGCCAAAAAGCCUAACUUUGCACUAAGGAAUGGGAAAGCAAAAGCAUGGAUUCAAAGAUCCUAGGGCAGUGUAUCUCCAUGGGGACCCUGCCAAGGAUGAGCUUUGCCACGUUUUAUUGGGUCUCUGGAAUUUGCUGAUUCCACUGCUGUAAAACCAUACAGAUAGAUAAAUAAUCAAUGCAGUUGGAAAACAAAAUCUUUCAAAAUGUGCCAUUCUUAGGCAGAUAAAUCAUGAAAUGAGGUCCUUAUUUCAUUCACUGUCAUAUCCCCAGUGAUUUGGACAAUGGCCAACACCUUGUACACACCAAACCAAAUUUUUAAAUGAAAGAGUGAAUGAAUCAAUGAGCACAUCAAUUGUAGGACUGAUAUUGAAGAUAUUGCUCAGUAAAUUAUGUGGCACCUUCUCUCUGAUAUCCCAAAGGAGAAACUUCCCCUGGGGCUGAGGACCAAAAAUGAAUCUCCCUCUCCAGAGCAACAGCUGUUUUUUAGUGACAGACAAUGAGAAUCAUACUCUCUUCUUUCCACUGGCUACUACAUGACUCAGCAUAAAACUUAUAGCCCAUCUCUAGCAAAAUAUCAUUUUGAUUUUGUCUCAUUUUUUUUUUUUGCUUUUCUUUUAUUAAUUUUAACAAUGGCUGCUUUCCUAAUCUCAUGUGUAUGCAUGAUUUAGGGCUCAAUCUCAUGAACCUGAGAUCAUGACCUGAGCUGAAAUCAAGAGUCAGGAUGCUUAACCAACUAGGCCACCCAGGCACCCCGAUCUGUCUAUUCUUUUACAUAAAACAUUCCAUAUUCUUUUACAUAAAACCACCAUGUUAAUGUGAAUGGCUGUAAUGCUUUUUCUGUUGGGUGGGGUUUUAGCAGAGAGCUCAAUGGAAAGGUCAAUUACUCAAUAUCUCUGAUUUUUUUUUUCCCCCAGGACUGGAAUUCCCAAAGCUUUUGAAUAAAGAUACCUUUCAAGGUAUAUUUUCUAUUCCUAGGCAUGCUCUCAAGAGCUAUAAAAACAAGUCCAGAUAAUAGCCUUUCAAAUAUAUGAGGGUCCUCUUGACUAGAAUUGCCACAUAAAACAAAGGACACACAGUUAAACUGAAUUUAAGAUAAACAACAAAUAAUUUCUAUAAGGAUAUCCCAAAUAUUAUGUGAGACGUAUAUAUGCUAAAAAUUGUCAUCUAUCUCACUGGGUGUCCUAUAAUCUUAUUUGCCUAAUUUGGCAACUGUAUUCUUGAUAGAACCACAGUCCAGCUGUGGUGAGGAGCUUAGGACUUUCAGGGUUCCAAUUAAUUGAAAGCUAAGGACUCCAUAAGGUCUUGAGUUUGAUUUUGCUAAGAGAUUCAAGGUUUUUUUUUUCCAGAUAUCAUACGGAGCUCUCCACCCUAGAAGAAAGCAGAGUAUGAGGGGCUCAGUCCUUGAAAACCAAUAUGAUAUCACUUAAGAAGCAGAAAUGCAUUGCUUUUGCAAUGAGGGGAGCUCACUUUCUUUGGUUAAGUUAGAAGCAACCUCUUUCUGGGAAUUAUUUGUGGUGCUUCCUUAAAAUGCAUACAAUGUUCAUUAAAAUAAUAAAUGCCUGGUCUUUGUGCCCAACCCCACUUCUGACCAGUUGAUCUGCCAUUUAUGUGUCUAUCAGACUUGACUAAGUUCCAGGCUUCUUCCAGGAAUUGACCUGAUUUCCAUGGGUCAAUAACCCACAGCCUUCUUCCUCCCAGAGAGACACUGAUUUGGCAACAAGGCAUGGAACCAUUCUCUUUAUGAGAAAUCCAGAAAGUAGUUACAAGGCUCCUUCACCCAGGUGAUCAUGAAACCAGCUGCAUCAAUGCUAUUAAGGAAGUUUGUGACAUGCUCUCACCGUAUUCCUUCUUCUGUGUUGACAGUGCCACACAAUCUGGAGGAAAGUCCCAGCUCCUAGCUUCUCCUUGAGGUGGGAAAGUUAAGACUGGACCAUAUAUUUAACAUUCUGAUUAUGUUUUGGGGAGGCUGAAAAGGCCUUGAGGCAGGAAUGCAACAUGUAUUGUGGUUGCAUCUAGGGCUUAGCUCUGAAGGUUGUCACUUUGAGGGCAAAGAAUUUGGAGAGAAUAUUUCAGCGGUAUAUCAUUUAUCAUGUGCAUCACAUACUUCAUGCUCUGUGUCUUUGUUCAUGCUGUUCCUUCUGUCAGGAAUGAUUUUCCCUCUUUUCUGCCUCACUACUUACUGAAAGGGCUAGGUUAAAAUGAACCACCUCAAUAAAACGUUUUAAGGUGGAUGGCCUGAAACGUCUUUGACUGCUCUUUCCCUUUCCCUGUCACCUUGGCCAUUUUUCACACCUUGACUAUAUUUGUUGUGAGUCUUUUUACAUUUAUAUAGUAAUUAACAUAUUAUAUAUUUUUUUUUCAUAAAGUUUGGACUUUUUCCUAACUGCCAUGUCCCGAGAUUGAAAGCAGUCUUCCCAGUUGCAAUGUGGAACACUAGCCACCUCCCCCUCCAACUCCCAGAAGCUACUCUGGGAGAAGUCGGCCAGCUACCUGCUGUAUCAUGAGGACACUGCAACAAACCUGAAGAAAGCCUGUAUGGUGAAAGAAUGAGGCCUUCGGUUCAAAAGGCCAUGAAGAGAUGAGACCUACCGACAGCCACUUGAGGGAAUGUAGAAGUGGAGUUUCAAUGCAAGUGCAGCCUUGCCUGCAAUCUUGGCCAACAGCUUUUCUACAGCUUCAUGAGACCUUGAAGCAGAAUCGCCUGGCUAAGCUGCUUGGUUAAUUCUUGAGUCACAGAACCAUGAGAUGAUAAAUGUUGGUUGUUUUAAGCUAA